rnacentral:misc_RNA from 1 species
GUAUAAAUUUUAUCAACGCUUUUUUAAGGCGAGGACAUAUGUUUUACAUUCUAUGAGACUUCGGGUAGGUGAUAAAGACGUAAAGGCCUUUUUUACGGGCCCUUACAAUAGGUUCACAGGUGUGUGUGGGAUUAAGGGCUCGGGCGUGCACGUGCCCCGAAAGGCCAGCUACAACCCUAACCGGUAAUUCGAUAAUGAUCCUUCCGCAGGUUCACCUACGGAAA